rnacentral:rRNA from 1 species
GCUUAGAGUUUGAUCCUGGCUCAGGAUGAACGCUGGCGGUAUGCUUAACACAUGCAAGUCGAACGGAGUACUUCGGUACUUAGUGGCGGACGGGUGAGUAACGCGUGAGAAUCUGCCUUCAGGAUGGGGAUAACAGUGGGAAACCAUUGCUAAUACCCAAUGAGCCGAGAGGUAAAAAAUUUAUUGCCUGAAGAGGAGCUCGCGUCCGAUUAGUUAGUUGGUGGGGUAAAGGCUUGCCAAGACGGCGAUCGGUAGCUGGUCUGAGAGGAUGAGCAGCCACACUGGGACUGAGACACGGCCCAGACUCCUACGGGAGGCAGCAGUGGGGAAUUUUCCGCAAUGGGCGCAAGCCUGACGGAGCAAUACCGCGUGAGGGAGGAAGGCCUUUGGGUUGUAAACCUCUUUUCUUAAGGAAGAAGAUCUGACGGUACUUAAGGAAUCAGCAUCGGCUAACUCCGUGCCAGCAGCCGCGGUAAUACGGAGGAUGCAAGCGUUAUCCGGAAUUAUUGGGCGUAAAGCGUCCGCAGGCGGCACUAUAAGUCUGCUGUCAAAGACCGCAGCUCAACUGCGGAAAGGCAGUGGAAACUGUAGAGCUAGAGUACGGUAGGGGUAGAGGGAAUUCCCAGUGUAGCGGUGAAAUGCGUAGAGAUUGGGAAGAACACCAGUGGCGAAAGCGCUCUACUGGGCCGUAACUGACGCUCAGGGACGAAAGCUAGGGGAGCGAAAGGGAUUAGAUACCCCUGUAGUCCUAGCUGUAAACGAUGGAUACUAGGCGUAGCUUGUAUCGACCCGAGCUGUGCCGAAGCUAACGCGUUAAGUAUCCCGCCUGGGGAGUACGCACGCAAGUGUGAAACUCAAAGGAAUUGACGGGGGCCCGCACAAGCGGUGGAGUAUGUGGUUUAAUUCGA